AGAGGGUGCGAGCGUUGUCCGGAAUCACUGGGCGUAAAGGGCGCGUAGGCGGCCUGAUAAGUAGGGGGUGAAAUCCUGUGGCUUAACUGCAGGGCUGCCUCCUAGACUGUCGGGCUCGAGCACGGUAGAGGCAGAUGGAAUUCCCGGUGUAGCGGUGGAAUGCGUAGAGAUCGGGAAGAACAUCGGUGGCGAAGGCGGUCUGCUGGGCCGUUGCUGACGCUGAGGCGCGGCAGCGUGGGGAGCAAACAGGAUUAGAUACCCUGGUAGUCCACGCCGUAAACGAUGGACACUAGGCGUCGGGGGGAGCGACCCUCUCGGUGCCGUCGCUAACGCAGUAAGUGUCCCGCCUGGGGAGUACGGCCGCAANNCNG
rnacentral:rRNA from 1 species